rnacentral:rRNA from 1 species
GAUGAACGCUGGCGGCGUGCCUAAUACAUGCAAGUCGAGCGAACGGACGAGAAGCUUGCUUCUCUGAUGUUAGCGGCGGACGGGUGAGUAACACGUGGAUAACCUACCUAUAAGACUGGGAUAACUUCGGGAAACCGGAGCUAAUACCGGAUGAUAUUUUGAACCGCAUGGUUCAAAAGUGAAAGACGGUCUUGCUGUCACUUAUAGAUGGAUCCGCGCUGCAUUAGCUAGUUGGUAAGGUAACGGCUUACCAAGGCAACGAUGCAUAGCCGACCUGAGAGGGUGAUCGGCCACACUGGAACUGAGACACGGUCCAGACUCCUACGGGAGGCAGCAGUAGGGAAUAUUCCGCAAUGGGCGCAAGCCUGACGGAGCAACGCCGCGUGAGUGAUGAAGGUCUUCGGAUCGUAAAACUCUGUUAUUAGGGAAGAACAUAUGUGUAAGAAACUGUGCACAUCUUGACGGUACCUAAUCAGAAAGCCACGGCUAACUACGUG